rnacentral:lncRNA from 1 species
GAAUAAUUACCUGCCAAAGGUAGAUGCGACUCCAUAUGAGAAUCUUCAACAAGUUUGCAAUCAGUUGCUCUCUCCACAAAUUUAUCUACAAAUAAAGUUGCUUAAUUAUAUUUGUAUAUGUUUUAUAAGUUGUUGGAGCUAAGCAAGUACCCGGUACACAUGUGUACUGGUUCAUAUAUCAUGGUAAUUACACAAUAGUAACAAGUGGUAGUUCAAAACAUGAAUAGAUUAACAUAGGCGAUAUCAAUUUAAAAUUAGAAUGUUUAGAUGUGCAUGCCUGAGGAUCUUUGAUCUUCAUGUUCACCAGACUUUAUGACCUCAUGCUAAUGUUUUUAGCUUUCUUUUUUAUUUUUGAAAUUUCUAACAAUGACACAAUAUUAUUCAUCAUUUGCUCGAUUAAUAAAUUCUAGAAGAUUCAAAAUAUACUAUCUAUCAUGUCUAACUAUUACCUGGUAGAGGCAUAUCCAAAUGUGCAUCAUCAAAAUUCUCAUGUGUAUCAACAUCAUCUAACAUUACAAAACCAAUAUAAAUAUUGUUAGAUCAAUAAUUAUUCUUAUAUUAGUUAUACAAUUUCUCCAUUGCAAUAAAAAAGUUAAAAACUCACUACUCAUGGAAAAGAAUAUUAAAAGUUUCACCAACAUCCGUUCAAAGUGAUCAAAAGAAUCUUUACUUUCACUAAGCCAUGAUUAUAAUUUUCUGGUGGAAAACAUAUCAUGAAAAUCUUUAGCAAAAUGCACUAAAUCUUGUAAUAAUAAUUGAAGACCUGAAUCUUUAGAAAGAUCUAAGUGCAUAACUUUUUUUUCUUUUGCUAACAAAUCUUCUUUUGAUUUUCCCAAUGUUACCUGAUAUAGUAUAUGAAUUGAACCCGAUUUCUUAGAUGAAUAAAAUAUGAAAGUUAAAUCUAGAAAAUUUCUUGUUGGGCUCGUGCAUUUUUUCAUCACAUAAACUUUUGUUAUUAUAUAUGUAAAAAAUCAAAUACACAUGUCUAACCUAGAUUUUUAGAACAUAAAUUCCCAAAUUUUGGUGACAAUGCAAGUACAAUAUAAAGUAACUCACCUCUUUCUUGUGCAACAUUUGUUCCACUUUAGUAAUCUGCAAAGGUUGCUUGGGUGAGCGCAACAAUUUCUUUUCAAAAAAACCACCGGUUUAUACUAACAUGUUAAUGGCCUCUUCAUUCUCUUGCUUCCUGUUUAUGAUAAUUAUAAGCAAGUUAGGAACAAAAAUAUUCACAUGAUAAGAUUCUUAAUUGUUAUACAGAUUAUACAAUACCAUCUCUCGAGUUCAAUUAGCAUUUCAUUCUUAGAGCCAUCCAAGAUAAUUGACUAAGUAUUGGUGGUCAGACUCAAUCUUGAGCAUUAAAGACAAACCAUCAUCGAUUGUGCCUAACAAUUUAUGUAUGUAUAAUUUAUCUCACCACAUAAAAUCAUGCAUACCAUAACAUGACACGACUGAAAAAUUCAACAACAAAAACAGUGUCCUAUUUGAAAUAGGUUCCAAUUUAGCAUAGAUCUCAUCGGAUACAAAAUCUUCCCAAAAUGUCACCACAAACGUUUCCAGCCUACAUUUCCAUGAAAUAUGUUAUUAUAAACUAAACUAAACAUAUGUAACGAAAUAGAAAAACAUAAACUCAUCGUGUAUCUAACAUACUCUGUAUGAAUAUCAAUAUACUCACAAAUGACUUUACCCUGUCCUUUAACUGUGACUUCCCGAGGUUCAUGGGUACCAAUAAUGACAUAAGCAGUAUCUAAGUAAGAGAAGAAAAUGAUUAAUUAACAUUUAAGUCACACUAAAAUAAUCUCAUUCUAAAAUAUAAUAAGUACAAUAAUUACUUUUCCUAACUUAACACAAAUAUUGCUAAAAUAAAUAUAGAAUAUCAUUCGCAAUUCUUCAAUGAUUAAGUUGCUUAGCUUAACUCAUCAAUGUCUUUGUUGAGAGGAAUUUGUGGAACUCUCAACUUGGAGUUGUUCUGAAACUUAGUCCACCAGCAAGUAUCGAAUCAUUUGGUUCUUCAUUCACCAAAGUAUCUUUUCUGAAUGUCUAUUGGUAAUUACAUGUCACAAUUGGAUUCUUGUAUUGCUUUGGAUCAAAAAUAUAGGCUCCUUUCACCAUGUAAACAUUACCCUCUUGAAGCACAUGUUUGAACCUAAUUAUCAUGGAAUAUCACAGCAUCAAGAGUGUGGCCCUAAAAAGAACAAAAAAAAUUAAUAUAUGUCACCUUUUAAAGGUAAGAAAAACUCACAACAAUGACAAACAUGGUUUUCGUACCUCAAUUCCACAUGUUUUGUUGUCAUUUCCCUUCAUGUUUUGCUUGUGAAUGCUUGUUUGUGCCCGAAUAUUUAGUUUUAUGAAGAUUUGAUAUCUUUGUGUAGUUUUGGAGUAAUUUCAGGAAAAAUCAAGGAUUAAUUGGAGGAUUUUGAAGAUAUGAUAUUGAAGUACGUCUCGAGAGGAAUCCGUGAGCGCAAACGGCGACCAAAUCCGAGUCCGGACGAGGGAGAACGGAGCAAAACGAGCGGACUGUGCAAAACGCCCAGUACCCCGCGGUCACCACCCGCGGCCGCGGGGUAAGACCGCGGGUCAGCAGUUCCCGACUUCAGGAGACACCCGCGGUCACCACCCGCGGCCGCGGGGUGGGACCGCGGGUCCCCUGAGCAGUCCCUCACGUUGAACGGCCGCGGACGCGGGCCGUGACCGCGGGAAAAGAGCGGAGCAUCCCCAAGUGGGCCCCAGUCGCGUUUUUCAGCCCUUAACCCCCAUUUUCCCCUUUUCCUCACAUUAUUCAUCAUCCCCUACAUUCAAUACUCAUUUCCUACCUCCAUAUCCAAGCCCUAACCCCCAUUAAUACUCAUUCCUACCCAUUUGAAGAAGGCAUUGAAGAGGAGAGAGGAUUGAAGCAAGCUUCUCAAUAGGAUUUGUUCAUUCUUUCUCUCUCUUUCAUUUAUGUUUCUCUUUUCAUUGGGUAUGUUAUUGUUGAACAUGAUAGGCUAAAUUUCUCUUUGAUUUGGGGAUUAGGCUAGAUGAUUAUUGUAAUGGAUUGAUUAUUUAUGUCUCAAUAUAAAUCUUAGUUUGUUCAUUUGCACAUUAUCUUUUCAAACCCUUGAUUUAUUUCUUGUAUGGAUUGUUGGCCACUUUCUAUGCAUUUCUCAUUUGCACUUUGAAUCGGGAGAGGAUAAUUGCAAUAGAUAAGGUGUUUGAAACAUAUCAAUUCGAUAACCGGGAGGUUGAGAGUUGGGUGAGAGUAUGUCGAUCUUUGUGUGCUUUUGGGAGUUAUAGGUUAGAAGUUGACCGGGGACGGCAAUUAUGACCCGUAAUCUACCGCUCUAGUCGUCCGGGAGGGGGCUAGAACUAGUUGGGAGAUCACUCUAGAUAAUUAGGAUUGUCAAGAUUAAUAUUGAGCUAUAAUUGAAGUCUUUUGCUUAAUCAUCGAUGCCUAGUCCCUAAAUCACCUUAAUCAUCUUAUUAAUCCACUUGCUUAUUUGGUUUUAUUUGUCUUUGCACUUGUUAAGUAAUUAGUAGAUAAUCAAACCAAUCACUCCAUCGUUUAGUCUAAAUAGCUAUAGCAUAAUGACUUAGGAUAAUCACUAGAUUGAACUACUAAUCCUUGUGGGAUACGACCUUGCUUCCAUAUAUUACAACUACCCGUAUACUUGCGGCGUGGUGAAAAUAUUAGCGAACAAACAACAACUUAAAUGUAAGGGAUGCUCAUUAACUUACCAAGCCAGCUUAAACAAAGGUGCAACUGUUAAUAAAUUAAUAAGGUAAUCAUCAGACAAACACAUACCUUUUAAGUGCCUCUGUCCACAACAAGCUUUACAUAAACGUUUAGACCGUGAAACACUAACAUUAUUAGACAAAGGCAGUUGCGUCACAUCGGAACCCAACCGGCGCAAGCAGCCUGCGAACCAUCAAAAUGCAAGAGUAGUAACAUAGUCAAGAUAAGUAAGUAAACAAUAACACUAAAUAAAAUUAAUUAUAACAAUACCUUUUGACAAUAUGGAAUUAGGGAUCACAUUUGUUGGGCUAAGGAAAACUUAAACCAUUUUCAGAAGAAGAGCCGAGCAAAUGAAAACAAAACGAUUGUUAAUAUAAAAGAAAUCAGUUUUUCAAAUAUAUGCUAAAUUAUUAAAAGCUCUAAAGAAAUUUAAAACAAAAGCAAGAGAAAUCAUAACCUGUCACUUGUGAGAUUGGAACACUCCCACCGGUGUCAACAACGAGAACACGCCUCUUUCUGUUUUUCAAAGUCUUAUCUGAAAAUUACAAACCAUAGUCAAUAAAAAAAAAAGUAAUAGCAGCAUUACUUGCAAAGCGAUCCCGCAUAAUGUUAAAUUAAAUUGUGCAAAUCUAGACACAAUUCAACAAAUAUUAUGCACCUCGCAAACUUCUCGACUAAGUAGUUAGAGCAUGUGAACACUCGGGGCCAAAGAUAAUUGGCAUAGCCAUAUCAGUUGCAGACAGAUGAGGUAAACUAAAAAAUAAGCGUCUUAAAGUUGUCACAGGCUGUCUGAGCCAUCUAAACACAAAAAUAAUAUAAAAUUUUCAUCAAAACAAAUAAAAGCAACAAUAUUAUGCUCAUAAAGAGCAAAUGAUCACUCCUGUCAAACUAUGAAACUAAUCACUUAUUCCGUUUCAAGUGACAAUAUUAUGCUUCCAAACCAACCAGUCAAUACAGGAAAAAAUAAUUCAUAACAGGACAAAAACAUUACGGAGAAAAUCUUCAAAUAUGAAGAAGCUUUAAGAUGGCAUACCUGAUAUAUUUCAUCCUUGUUAUUAUUGUAACUUUCAAGUUGCUUCCACGAAGUUGUCCGACAAAGCUCUCAAAAUAAAACAAAAGUAACCUAACUUACAUAUAGAAUAGAACAAUUAAUACUAACUAUACAUAAUUAUAUUAAAUCAGUUAAAUUCAAUUAAUCAAUUAAAAUAAGUUUAAAUUAAAACUCUAGGCCCAUUCCUCCAAUCAUACUUAUUUACCAUCAUCUGCACUCAUGAGCAAGCCCAACCAUACAUUAUUAUUUUCAAUUAAAAAUAGAGCCCUAGUCAAAAUCCACACAAUUAAUAUACUCCAUAUGCGUUCUCUCACACCUUCAUCUCUCUCUUUACUUCACAUUUGCAAUAAAGAGUAAAUCUCAACCCCAAAUCCCUCUUCUUCUUCUUCUUCCCCUUUUUUUCUUAAAACACAGCUUGUUCUCUCGUAGACCUCACUAUCGUUCCCCAUUGUCGACCCACUCUUCUCACCUCAGCCCGACUAUGAGCAACUAAGAAAGUUGUUGCUGAUGCCGAUGCCGACGCCGGCCAAUACUCUCAACGCAGACAACGACACAAGAAACUGAGCCACAACUCAGCUAAAGCUGAUGCCGACGCCGACAGCGGCCAAUACUCUCAAUGCAGACAACGACACAAGAACUGAGCCACAAGUUAGCUAAAACUCAGCCACGACUCUCUGUUCCCGAUCGGCACCCUCAAAGCAAACAACAAAGCAAGAAACCCAGCCACAACACUCUAAUUUGAUUGUGUUAUGCUGAGCUCUGUUUUUUGUAAAAAUUCUAGGGCUAUUUAAAAUAUUAUUGAUAAAAAGCAGGUGGUGCAGAAAUCAAACUCACCUCCUUGUUUUGUUGGUGGAAUGGAUUUGUCUAGUGUGAUUUUUUGUUAGAUUAACAUCAGAUUUUGCACUUUCACCGGGCAAAGAUUCGACAAGAAAUCUCUUUCUUUUUUUGUUGCGAAACUGUGAACAUAGAAAGUGAAAAAUAAAAAUCUGCAGGGGAGAUGAUUAAGAUAAAACAGAUAUUUUUCUUUUUGCAAAAAACCCACAAAUGAAACAAAAAUUACCAAAAUACCAUGGGCACUAUUUUUUCUACAGUACUAUUCCUUACAAUAGUAGCCAAGUUCUCUCUUAUUAAGAUUGUUAAAUAGUGGGUGAUUUGAAAGAGUUCAAACUUAUUUAGAAUUGUCAUAGAAACGAGAUUCUUGUAUGUUUGUGGUUAGGAUAAUAUUAGUAAUAUGAUAUUACAUUAUUGCCCUUAAAAAUAGAUUUAAAAAUAAGAAUAAAAUAGGCAAAUCAAAUUUUGUAAAACAAGCCACUUUUAUAAUAGGUAUAGAUAUAGAUAUAUGAAGAGGAGGUGCAGCUUAGCUACAAGAACGCAUGCAUGAACUGUGCGCAUAAAGCGCACGUUAGUUUCUGUGUGAUUAGCUAAGAGUAGUUUAGUUAGUUAACAGUAGGUCUAGUUAGUUAUAACCGUGAAGAGCUUCUUGAAGCUUCUUUGUAUAGUAUAAAUAGUUGUCUUGCUCUUCUUUUGUAUGUUGAGUUUUUACACAGAAAUAAAUGAAAUUCUCUUCAAACUAUACAGCCUAGAUUGUUCAAUACCACUACAUUUGUAAUAAUCUUCGGCCUUUGCUUAUUGUAUUAAUCUGAUAAGUAUCUAUUAUGUCAUGGUUAGUUGUAUGCAUCUUUGACUUUUUCUUUUUCCUAGUGUAGCAUGUUUAUGUGUUGAAUGAGAUGAGAUUUAGUGUCGUGCAAAUUUUUGAAUUUGAGACUUACAUUUUCUUCUAUCUAAGCACCUAAGUGCAAUGUUAUACAUCAACGGCUUAAAUGCAAUGCAAAGCCACGUGUCUUCCAUCUAAGCACCUAAGUGCAAUGCACCAAGGUGCAAGAUGGAAUAAACCCACAAACAGAGCGAAAAGCUCAUCUCAAAGGGAUUGAAUGACGUGGUUUUACACCAAUAGAAUUGUGAUUGAUGACGUGGAAUCGCACUGACGAAAAGAUAGGGAAUGGGUAGCUCAGUUUUGCCUUGAAAUUGAAAAAAGCAAAAAGAAACUUUGAACUCAUCACUACUCAAAAGUCACAACCAACCAGUAAAUAAUAAUUUUGAGAAUAUUUUUUGUGUAGAAUGGAGAUGGCUUAUGAAGCUCUUGAUAAUCUGCAACAACUCUUUAUAUAAACAUCCGCUUUCACAUUACUGUCGUUGACGUCGCUUAAAAUAUGACCUAUUAAGAUUUCAUGUUAUUAUAAAUAAGAAGCUAAAUUAAGAUUCUAUCAAAUUCUUGUCUAAAAUUCUCAUAAUUAUACUCUGUUUCCCUUCUACUGAUAUCGAUCAUGGCGGCCUACGCAGCCUUGGUUUCUCUAAUGCAUAUCAUAGACGACCUCGAGCGCCACCAUUCCCCUCCGAUUUCUCUAAACAAACACCAAGUUCAAUCCCUCACUGAAAUUAUCACAUUCUUGCAGGAGUUUCUCGAAGCUUAUGACUCCCCUGUUUCCGACGAAGCAGAUCCCUUGGAGAUGCGUAUUGCAGAUGCAGCUUAUGCAGCUGAAGAUGCCAUCGAAUCUCAUAUCGUGGCCAAGAUUCAGCUGAGCAGAUCCACAGAAGCUGAUAUCUCCCCUGUUUUCCGACGAAGGAAAUCCAAAGGAAGAGAUGAAGUUGUUUCAAGAUGUGCAAAAUGUGAUACAAGAAAUGGAUCAGAUCAAGAGUUUGGCGAUGCAGAGGAAUACAGAUAAGCGGCAUAGCUUCGUCUCUGCUUCUUCUUCAACUGGGAAGAACAGCAGUGGCAUGGUGGUGUGGUCCGAGGGUGUCGUGAAUGGAAUCUUGGAAAGGCUCGUUUCGGACCAACGCGACGCCAAGUCAUCCCGAUCACAGGAAUGGGCGGGAUAGGUAAGACCACUCUUGCCAAAACUGUUUAUUCGAAGAAAAUUAUUGAGCAGCAGUUUGAUGUUUGUGCUUGGGCUACUAUUUCUCAACAAUACAACACAAGGGAAAUUCUUUGUGAACUUGUUUCUCAAGCCAACUAAAAAAACCAAGGAACAACUGAGUGAAAAGAGUGAAGAUGAACUAGAAUUAGAGCUCUACCAGCAUUUGAUAGGAAGAAGGUUUCUAAUUGUGAUGGAUGAUAUGUGGAGCACGAUGCAUGGGAUAGGAUACAGCGUUUCUUUCCGAAAAUGAGAAUUGUAGUCGUAUAUUAGUGACGACUAGGCUUUCCCACUUGAGUUCCCAAUUGAACAACAAUUAUAGCCUUCAAAUGGAAUUUUUAGAUGAGGUUAGAAGCUGGGAACUCUUCUAAAAAACUGUGUUUGGGGUUGGAAGUUGCCCUCAUGAGUUAGAGAAAAUUGGAAAUUAAGAAAAUAGUAGAGAAUUGCAGAGGACUUCCUUUAUCAAUUGUUGUAGUGGGGGGUAUUUUGAGAAAUAAGGAACACACUCUAGGAGUUUGGAAUCAAUUAGGAAGAACUUAGCUUCAAAAGUGAAUUUGGAGAAUGAUAAGAAUUGCAUGAAACUGUUGAAAAUGAGCUAUAAUCAUUUGCCAGUUUAUUUAAAGCCAUGUUUUUUAUAUAUGGGAGUGUUUGAGGAGGAUGAUUCGGUUAAAGUCUCAACACUCGUGAAGCUAUGGGUUUCUGAAGGAUUUUUAAAACCCAUGAAUGACAAAAGUUUGGAAACUAUUGCCAUAGAGUUCUUAAAGGACUUGGUUGAUAGAAAUCUCAUUCUAGUUGAUAAAGUGGGGUCUACAGGAAACAUAAAAUUUGUCAAAAUUCAUGAUUUGUUGAGGGAUUUAUGCUUGAGCCAGAGCAAGAAAGAUGGGUUCUAUGAUGUGAUAGGGCAAUCUAGUCCUCGAGGCAUAAGUAGCCAACGCCGCGUUGUUAUACCCAGGAACACAUUUGACGACUUGCAGUCUAUGCCACGUGCUCGUUCCAUUAUCAGUGAAUAUGGGAAUGUCUCACGUAUUAAGAAUUCGGGGUUGCUUAGAACAUUACAUGCAUACAAGUUUCGUUAUGUUGGAUAUGGAAGCUUGAUUAAGUCCCUUGCAUCUCAGUAUGUCAACUUGCGCCACCUUGCUGUUGAAGUUGCUAGCACGUCCUCGAUCUUUACCUCGUUUACUCGCUUCUGGAAUCUGCACAUAUUGAUUGUUUCUUGUGUGGAGGAGUUCACUGCACCUGGUGAGAUUUGGAGAAUGCCACAACUUAGGCAUAUUAAAAUGACUAAAGGAAUUUUUUAUCUUCCAGAACCUUCGAGUGAUGAUGUCGUUGUCAUGGAGAAUCUACUGGUGCUUGAGGCAAUAGCAAAUUUCAAGUGCAGUGAAGAGGUGGUUAAGAGAAUUCCCAAUAUCAAAAAAUUGGGGAUAGUGUAUUUUGGGAGAGGGGGAAUCGAGCAAGAUGAUUAUUAUUGUCUGAACAAUAUCAAACGUCUGUGUAAAUUGGAAUCCCUCCGCGUAGAUUGUUGGAAUGAUUUUAGAGCUGCUCCGUAUGCGCUAACAUUCCCCCAAAGCCUCAAGAAGUUGACUCUUGGGAUGAGUCGUGGCUUGGAAUGGGAAAAAAUGUUGGAAAAGAUAGGUGCAUUGCCCCUUCUCGAGAAGUUCAAGUUGUGGUACGGGUGCUUUGGAACAGGCAAGUGGGAAAUGGUUGAAGGCCAAUUCCCUUCCCUCAAAUACUUGGGAUUGGAUUCGUGUCCCAGUUUGGAGCAUUGGACUGCGGAAUCGAACUCCAUCUUUCCACGCCUUGAGAAGCUUCAUCUUUUAGAUAUGGAAGAGUUGAAGGAGAUCCCGACUCAAAUUGGAGACAUACCGACCUGCAAAAGAUAUGGAUGGAUUGUGGCAAUCUGUUGUGAUGUGCGCAAAGGAGAUCGUAGAGGAACAAGUGGAAUUACAAGGGGAAGAUCUUCCAUUUCAUGUUCAAGUUCAGCUUCGGAGUAAGAACGAAGCAGUGCAGAGCUUGGCAGGCCCCAACUUCGAAGUUAUAUGUGAUAGCUAGCUAGGUUCUACCACUAUUAUUUCUGUUGUUGUUUCUUUCUAUUUUAUAUUAUAAACCAAAAACUAAUCUUUUAAGUGGAUUGGAAACCAAUGUGAAAAAGUGGAAACGAAAACUACUAAAUAUAAUUUUUAAAUUUAACACAAAUUAAUAUUAAUGGACGUAAUCGACCACAUCACCAAUAUGUAUGCAUUAGAAUUCUACCUUCACAAGGCAUCCUCUUCUUCCUCUCCAAAACCCACCCACAAGAGCUGAUCAAUCUCCGGCAGGUCACCGCCGUCGACUGGAAUUUCACAAUUUGCUCCGCAGGUCGCCGCUGUCGACUGGAAUUUCACAAUUUGCUCCGCACAUAGGUACGCCUAUCAUAUUAUAUUCAUUGUUUUCAGUAUGAAUCUGAUUUGCUGGUAUUUGAUGGUGAUGUUACCAAUGCGCUGAUUUACUUUGUUUUGGUUGUUUGAUUGAUGUUUAUUUUGUUCUGGUAUAUCUGAACUACAAGUUUAGGAUGAGGCCCGAUUUCAAGAUGUGGAGGUGGCUCCAUGAAAAUUGGCCAUGAAAUUCUUGUUAUUUCCUUGUUUACCACUGAAGCACUGCUUUGUAUUUCCCAUUGCUCAAUAUCUAAGAUAUAAUGAAAGCAUGCAAAAAGAUGAUUGUAAUUAAUGCACGGUGGUGUUGCAAUCUAUCUCUAAGCCUAAUAACUAUUUUGCAUCCCCAAAAGCUUUGAUUUAAUUACAGUUCAGAAUUCCAAAAGCAUAUCGUUUAACUCUGAGUUUAGUGACCAUGUUCUAAAUCAAUAAACCUGCUAUGGCUUUGCUUAGUUUCAUGUUUUUGUUAGACUUUGUUUAUAUAAGUUUUUCAGGUGUGUUUUUCUUUGCUGUUGGAUCUUGAAUGCUGACAAUUUACUUAAUUAAUAUUGCUAUUUGUAUAUUUUAAGAGAAUGCAAUCCGUCUUAAAUUGUACAAGAUGCAGGGCCCUUGAUUAAUUGUAUAUAAGAUGUUGAUCAAUGGUAUAUAUAUAUAUUUUUUUUGUUUAGUGUAUAAUUGUAACACCCAGUAUUUUCACUGCAUUAUAUAUAUUAUUAAUAUUGUUUUCUAUGAUUUUAAAGAAGAAAGAGAAGUCUUAAUUUUAUGUAAAACCUGAACUUAGUUAUUUAACGAGCAGAUUAUAUCGAGAUUUUUAAAAUCAUAGAAGCCCGAGUAUUUCAUGAUUUUAAGGUUGAUAGGAUUUUAUGCAAAAAAAGCCCAAUACUUAGCAUUUUGGCUAGCAAUUUUAUUUGAAUGUGAAGUAGCCAGAGCCCAAUUUGUGUAUAUGAAUUCAGUUUUUAAGUAUAAAAACAAUAGCUAUUUGGUUGGGCUAAGAAUAUUAAGAAAUGAAGAGGAAGCCCAAACCCAACAUUCUUUCAUUAAGCAGAUUAGUCAACCUUAUUAGCGUAAGUUAAAUUAUUCAGAUUAUUAAUUCAGAUUAGUUAUUCUUCAUACACGUAGCAUUUAGCUUCCACGCAGCUGCUCACACAAACCGACUCAAGUCAGUAUAAGCUUCAUCCCUCAUGCGUUGAACCAUUUUCUUCAUUCUGCAAAAUCUUAACUACUACUCCAGUAAACAUCCAUCCAACACACAAAUUACACACAAUCAUCCACAGCAGACAUCAAAGAAGGUAGUCUUUCUUUUCUAAUACAGUUAACUUUAUAUCAUAAAGGCAGCAACCAAGAACUGUGAUGAGUAAUAACUAUAAUCACAUAUGCAAUUCUGACUUCAUAAACACAGUUCCAAUUUCUUAAUAACAAUAAAGAAAUAGAUUUAUCACAUAUAAAAAUCGGAUCUUGAGCAGUAGCCACUCCGAGAGACACCCUGAAUCAUGGAUUCCUGAAAUAGAAAAACUAGGGAUUGAUUAGUUUGAGGUAUUAGAACUGAAAUAGGUUAUUGAAAUAGAAAAUAAAGAAAAAGAGAAAAGAAGAAGAAAAAUAAUUAGAACAGGGGAAAGGAUGGCAGCAGCAGCAGCAACCGCGAGCCACCGCGACGGAGGCGCGACUGGCGGCAGCGACCGCCGGCACUGCCCACGCCACGGCGGUCCGCGGUGGCCGCCAGUAGCACAGAGAGUUUGAGCGAGAGAGAGUAAGACAAAGACAGAGAGACACGGACAUGAGAGAAAGUAGAGCGAGAUAGAGGCAGGGAGAGAAGAGCAGAGCGGCGGCGACCGCCGGCGCUGCAUGCGCCGCUGCGGCUCGCAGCGGCCGCUGCAAGCAAAGGGGCAGAGAGAGAGAUCGAGAUUAAGAGCGCAGAGAAGGCAGAGAGAGAGAUCGAGAGACAGAGAGAAAAAAGAGGGAGAAAGAGAAGCUUAACCUGAGAUGGAGUAGGUGGCAGUGCGACGGGGACAACGGUGGCAGUGAAACUCGCCGGUUGACUGGAGUUGAAGGGGGGGGAAAAUUAGAAACCCUAGGUUGAUUUUGAAUUAAGAAUUGGGGAAAAGGGAAGGAAAGGAAGAAGAAGGGGAGAGAGACGCCGGCCUCGCCGCGCCGGAGGCGGCGAGGACUGGCGACGUCGCCGGGCGAGAGGGAGAGGGAAAGUGAGAGAUGCAGGUGAGAGAACAGAGAGAAAUGGAGUCUGCGUAAAAAGAAAAAGAAGGAAGAAGAGAGAUGUUGACUUUAGUAUAUUCUAGACUUAAGUUCUAUUUAGUUUUUAAUUUAUUUUGAUUAAUUGGGCUUUGAGAAUUUCAUAUUGGGUUUAAAUAAUACUUGGGCCAUUAAUUGCUAUUGGACCUUAGUAAUAAAUUAGAUUAUGGACUUAAUUAUUGGUUUGGGUCCUUAAUUCAUUUAAUUGAGAUGAGUUUAUUUUAAUUUAAGCCUAUAAAUAUGUAUAAAGGAUUAUUAGCUAUUUGCUAAUAAUUGGCUUGAUUUAUUAAAUGGCCUAGACAUAUAAUUAAAUUAUGCUAUUACUCUAUGUAAUUAUGCAUAAAUUAGACACUAGAUUAUUAUAGAAUCAAAUUCUUGAAAGAAGAGAAAAAUAGAUUUAUAUUAUUUCCAGUUAAUAGCUAUUUAUUA